rnacentral:lncRNA from 1 species
UAAAAUAAUUCAACUGAAAUAAAUGCAAUCUUACUCCAUUGACUGACCCAAAUUAUAUAGUCUCACAGUUCUAAAUACGCAGCGGAACAAUAAAGAUAAAACAUCAAUUUAAAUAAAGCCUAAUCUAGAAUGACUUGUGCUUCAGUUCUUCUAGUCGCUCUCCCAUUUUAAAUCCCCGAUAGGUUAGUUCUCAGAAUCUGUAAAACAACAAGAAAUCAUAUAAUGAGCUAGACAGCCCAGUAAGUAAUAAACACCUUAACUAGUCAAUUCAUAUAAUAACAUAAAAUAUAAAUACAAAUUACGAUGAAUCAACAUAAUAACAUAAUCAAUUCCUUUUCAAGUACAAAUUCAUUAAAAUUCGUAUUUUUCAAAUAUCUAUAUACAUAAUCAUAAAUCUGAUUCGAAACAAAUCAUAUUCAUCUCAUCAGCCUUUAGCUACGACCACACUUAUACCCUGUGGCUAGGCCAGAAACAGAACCGCACUUAUACCCUGCGGAGUGGGCCAGAAUACUGCACUUAUACCCUGCGGAGUGGGC